rfam:Ixodes scapularis strain Wikel colony gcontig_1107729152790, whole genome shotgun sequence.
CCCUGGUUAGCUCAGGUGGGAGAGCGCUGCACUGAAAAUGAAGAGGUCCCGGGUUCAAUACCGGGACCAGGCG